AUACGUAGGGGGCGAGCGUUGUCCGGAAUGAUUGGGCGUAAAGGGCGCGUAGGCGGCCUGUUAAGUCUGGAGUGAAAGUCCUGUUUUCAAGAUGGGAAUUGCUUUGGAUACUGAUGGGCUUGAGUGCAGGAGAGGUUAUCGGAAUUCCCGGUGUAGCGGUGAAAUGCGUAGAGAUCGGGAGGAACACCAGUGGCGAAGGCGGGUAACUGGACUGCAACUGACGCUGAGGCGCGAAAGUGUGGGGAGCAAACAGGAUUAGAUACCCUGGUAGUCCACACUGUAAACGAUGAAUGCUAGGUGUAAGAGGUAUCGACCCCUUUUGUGCCGGAGUUAACACAAUAAGCAUUCCGCCUGGGGAGUACGGCCGCAAGGUUGAAACUUAAAGGAAUUGACGGGG
rnacentral:rRNA from 1 species